UAAACCAAGCCCCUCGAUGAGUUGCUUGAGCUGAACCCAAAGAGUCUCACUCUCUGAACGAUCCCGUCUGUGGUCGCCGCCGUGGACUGAACUGGUUGUUGCGCUCGCCGUUCGUCACACAUUCCAGAUUUGAGCCGCCGUCUACGUGGGUUGGACUCGAUUUCCAGAUCUGAGUAGUCGCGUCUCUGCUUCUUCCACUGCCACGGUUCUUUCGUUGAGAGAUCAGGUGGCCAUUCGGGGAGACCUUUUUGGCUCCCUUUCAAAGGACACAUAUAUCUAUCUGGGUCACUCGUUAUUAAGGUAUGGAAAAUCAUGCCCAAAACUUGUUUUACAAAAGGUCAGAAAGGAAACCUCUGUUUGUAUUGUAUUGUUUUUCUCUAUCGUUUACAGUGCUUUACAGACAGUAUUUAUAGACAAUAUUUAAAGCAAUCAAACCAUGAAUUUCAGAUCACAAGACACGUACCCUAAUGGAAUUCCUUUCUUGUUAUACGAAUGUGCUGGAGUGCUCUGCCUUGGAGUGGUGCUACUGCAUCUUGCUUCACUGGUGGCAUUGUCCUUUUGUGUAGCAGCCUGUGCAAGUCCUUUGGCUUUUUUCUCGUGUGGCAGACUGAUGCAGCGCUCUUUCCUUUUGUAUAGGAGUCGGUUACAGUGCAAUUUCUUUAUCCUCAACACGCUUUAAGCCCCCAAAGAUGGAGAAAAAAGAUUUGCCUCAUUCCACCAAAUCGCCUUUCUUCUAAAUUUACCCAUCCCAGGAUUUGCCGAUACCCACCAAAUAAUUUUAAAAAAAUGAAAAUAAAAAACCAGUUGCUGAACCUUGAAAGUGACCAACUUUCUAUAUAUAUAUAUGAUCCACAUGCAGGGCCCGGAGAUUACUUUUCUUUCUCUUUUUUUUUUUUUUUUACGAAAAAGUCUUGAUUUAUUUGUUAUUGAAAUUGCUUUUAGUUAAUUGCAUGCAGUGUUGAUUAUCAUAUAUAUGGUCAAUAUUGCUGCAUGGUCCAAAAUGUUUGUUGAGUCCCAGACAUUGGUUGAUUUUUUCUAGUCAUGUCUCCGUCUCUGUCUCUAUCUUACUAGUUUUUCUCCUAGGUCUAUUAAUUUAUUAUUGAUCUUGAUUUAAACUACUCAUGGAAGUUGAUAGAUAAA